ACGUAGGGUGCAAGCGUUGUCCGGAAUUAUUGGGCGUAAAGAGCUCGUAGGCGGUUUGUCGCGCCUGCUGUGAAAACUCGGGGCUUAACCCCGGGCUUGCAGUGGGUACGGGCAGACUAGAGUGUGGUAGGGGAGACUGGAAUUCCUGGUGUAGCGGUGAAAUGCGCAGAUAUCAGGAGGAACACCGGUGGCGAAGGCGGGUCUCUGGGCCAUAACUGACGCUGAGGUGCGAAAGCCAGGGUAGCAAACGGGA
rnacentral:rRNA from 1 species